CAUGUACUCCCUCCAUCCCGAAUUACUUGUCGCAGGUAUGGAUGUAUCUAGAUGUAUUUUAGUUCUAGAUACAUCCAUUUCUGCGACGAGUAAUUUGAGAUGGAGGGAGUAUGAU
rnacentral:pre_miRNA from 1 species